GAUUAUCUGAAUGAUAUGUGGUUGUAUAUAAAGGGCAAUUAAUGACUGAACGUUACAUACAUACCGAUAGCAGCACCAUUAGUCCAGGACCUUAUAAAUAUCUACUGGUACUGAACAAGUCAGAAACUAAUUUAAUACCCACCCCUGCUUAUAAUCAUUGUUGUCUUGUUGUUGCUGCACAGGCUGUCUCUCCUCCAGCUGCUGAAAAUAAAAAGUAUGUUAGAUUUCUUAGAAUGAAUAGACUCACACAUAACGUUCACAUUAAACCAGUAAGUGGCGACAAACGAGAAUAUUUUGUUAUAAACAACUCUAAAUCAUUGAUUUGGCUGCUUCACUGGCUGUCAUUACAAAGAAUGUAAGUAAACAAGUCGUGAAGUAAUCCCAGAUAGCAAGCACUUUUGGGCCGAUUCCGGCAGAAAAGCGGCACUGUCGGCUCACUGUCGACGUCGAUGAAAAGAUUAUGGGCCAUAACUCUGCCGACUGUACACAGCGCAUCUGGCUGACAGACAGCGUUUUCUUUAUGGGCCGGUCUCGGCUGAAAUAGUUGUACUCGCGGCAGGUCCAUAUAACUCGGUAUAGAUCUAUCGGCCCGAGUUCGUUUCGUAAUAGGCGGGCCCCCAAAUAUCAAGCACUUUUGGGCCGAUUCAGGUUUAAGCGCGCCAACAUCGACUCAAUUUCAGAAUCAGUGAAAAGAUAAUGGGCCAGAGCCGUGUGGACUGUACGGCUGACAGACGGCUUUUUCUGAACGGGCCAAUCACGACUGAAAGCUCGUUAUCUGUUUUCGGCCCGAGCUCGUUUGUCACGGGCGGGCCACUGCUGGAGUUAAGGACUUCAGCCGCCUGAAAAAGAGUUUUGGCGGUUAAAUCCUGAGGAGAAUCCUGCAGUCAACAUUUCAUGAUCGAGAGAAAGGAUCAGCUGCAAAACGCUGCAGUUCAGAGAAACCCUGCUGAAAUGGAGGAUGAGGGGACCAUGAAGAGGUGGCUGCAACUGGCAGCAAAUUGAAAGGGCGGAUGCAUGAACAGAUGGUUGAGAUGACCACAACAGCCCUGAAUGUCAGCAGAGAACAUGACAACUAAACAAGCUCUGGAGACCGAUCCGCUGUGAAGACCUCGUCGACACAACAGUCUACAGCACAGAUCUUCAGCAAAGAUCACGAGAACCAGACGAGACCUUUGCAAGGCCACUUCAACUUCUCUUCCCUCUACAUAUGCCAUUGUGCUGUGUUCGAUCCUCAAGCUGAAUGAUAUCAGUCCACAAUCUAACUUCUGAUGCAGCUGAAUCAUAAUCACACUGUGUUUGUUUGGCCAGAGGAAAACUGGCCCUCGACUGAGUCUGGUUUCUCCCAGGGUUUUUUCUUCAUUCUGUCUUCUGAUGGAGUUUGGGUUCUUGUCACUAUCGCCUCUGGCUUGCUUAGUUGGACACCUACUUUUCAAUAAUAUUGAUGACUGCAUUGACACUAUUGGAUGAGAACUCAACAGAGCUGGAUUAUGACAUUACUGUUUUCUGCAGAACUGCUUUAUAGCUGAAUUGAACUCAUUGAACUGAACUGAAACAACACUGAAAUGACUUCAG